AGGACGAACGCUGGCGGCGUGCCUAACACAUGCAAGUCGAACGCGCUCCAUUCGGUAGCAAUACUGAUGAAGAGCGAGUGGCGAACGGGUGAGUAGCACGUGAGCAACCUGCCCAGAAGACUGGGACAACACCGGGAAACCGGUGCUAAUACCGGAUAUCCCUAUCGGACCGCAUGAUCUGAUAAGGAAAUGGAUUCCGCUUCGGGAGGGGCUCGCGGCCUAUCAGCUAGUUGGUGGGGUAACGGCCCACCAAGGCAUCGACGGGUAGCUGGUCUGAGAGGACGAUCAGCCACACUGGGACUGAGACACGGCCCAGACUCCUACGGGAGGCAGCAGUGGGGAAUCUUGCGCAAUGGGCGAAAGCCUGACGCAGCAACGCCGCGUGGAGGACGAAGGCUUUCUGAGUUGUAAACUCCUUUCAGCAGGGACGAUAGUGACGGUACCUGCAGAAGAAGCACCGGCCAACUACGCGCCAGCAGCCGUA
rnacentral:rRNA from 1 species